rnacentral:SRP_RNA from 1 species
GCCGGGCGCGGUGGCGCGUGCCUGUAGUCCCAGCUACUCGGGAGGCUGAGGUGGGAGGAUCGCUUGAGCCCAGGAGUUCUGGGCUGUAGUGCGCUAUGCCGAUCGGGUGUCCGCACUAAGUUCGGCAUCAAUAUGGUGACCUCCCGGGAGCGGGGGACCACCAGGUUGCCUAAGGAGGGGUGAACCGGCCCAGGUCGGAAACGGAGCAGGUCAAAACUCCCGUGCUGAUCAGUAGUGGGAUCGCGCCUGUGAAUAGCCACUGCACUCCAGCCUGAGCAACAUAGCGAGACCCCGUCUCUUUU